AUUUACUGCGUAUUUAUGGCAUAACCGGUAACCGGUAAAGUAUCUGUAUACUCAUAAAUAAGUCAAACGAACAAUCACAGCCAUUGGCAAACAUGUCGUCCAUUAUCUGUGAGACUUAAAGAGCACGAAGCAACAACCUUAAGACGUAUGGAAGCCAACAAAUCAGCAGUAGACGAACAUCAUUGAAAACUUUACCCACAACAUAGAAUGGAAUAAUACUAAUGUUUGGACCAGAAACAUUCCAUUAUGGAAGAAAAGAGUAAUGUGGGAAGCCAUUCAGACCAUCCCAACCACAAACAGAUCACAGAUAAAAAUAUAGGAAUACUUGUCUAAUGAAUGUCAGGAACUGAAAUCUGAUUUGGGAUUUUUGACUUUAAUAUAAUAACAGGUCGAACCACGCCACUUAACUAUAAAUGGAAUGGCAUACCUUAUUGUAUGUGUCUUUUAAAAGCCCACAUAUUGGACAACUAUACUCGACCCAACGCUAUGAAAUUCGAAAGGUAAAGGAACAGCAAUUUAAACUCUUUAUAAAAUCUUUAGAAAGAGGUGUCCUUUAUCUAUUUCUGUAUUGUUUUAGGGGGACAUUAUAGUUAUUAUUAUACAGAAUUUGUAAUUGUAUAGUUUGUACAUAUUUUGGUACGAUAUAAUCAUGUGGGUUUUUAUAAUCUAAUAUUAAUGAACUAAAAAAAUUGCAAUCUAAUAUUGAUGAACUUAAAAAUAUAACAAUCUAGUAUUGAUGAACUAAAAAAUAUUAGAUACUAUAAUAGGGUGUGAAAUACAAUUUACGUGUUAGUGUAAAAGUUUACUUGAAAUGUUAAAAGAUAAAUAUAAAUGAAAUGAAAUGAAAUGGGGUUUAACGUCCUACUGUUCUGCUCCUAAACUGGGCUAAUGAAGACGGGCAUACGCCAUACAGUGUGCUAUGAGGGAAAUUUUGCCCGGACAGCGGCACUACGGCCUACUCUUAUAUCGAAUUCCAACUGCCAAGGGAUCUUUUAUGUGCACGCCAAUGUGUACACGGGACCUCGGUUUUUCGUCCCAUCCGAACGACUAGACAGCUUUCCUUGUCAGCCCCUCCGUCCUGCAUCACUGACAAGGGAGAACCACGCCGGAAAAUCUGGAAGAACUUUCUCGGCCAAUGCAGGGAUCAAACACCCGACCUCCAGGCUAGCGAGCUAGCGUCUUACCCACUUAGCCACGUGAUCCCCUAAAAGAUAAAUAUGUAUUAAGCUAGCUAUUUUAAACAGAAGUAUGUAUAAAAGGUCUAAUUCAGGUACAAUUUUCCGUUAUGAAGACCCAUUUCUAUAUAUUCAUUUCCAUUAUCAAAAUCUUUCAAUUAUUUUUGGAAAUUCUGCCAGAAAUUAAAUUUAAAAAAAAAAAAAUACAACACUAUUUUUAAUAUGGAAUUUAGUUUCUGCCUAUAAUUAAAUACUACGUUGGUAGUAGAUUGUUUAGUCAAAUGCAUAAAUGAUAUAUAAUAUACAGAUGAUGUCAGGCACUUAUAAAUUAACUUUCUAAUCACGAUUAUAACGAAUAAAGGGUAAAAUAGAUCCAGACUUCAUUAGCCCAGUCUGUGCAGAAAAAUAGGACGUUAAACCCCAUUUCAAUUUCAUAAAAUAGAUACUGAUCUUUUGUGUAAAUUAAUGCUUGUAUAUAGGACCCAGUGAUCACUAAAAGAAUAAUAUAAAUAAGCUUUAGAUGUACUGAUAAUUAAAAAUCAUGAUAAAGGAUACAAUAUGAUUUAACAAUAAAAUAGUAAUCCUACUCGAUUUACUUCCCUCUUUUACUGUUGCAGAUAGGCCCCACUAAGCAAUAAACAAUUGAUUUAAGACCAUGUAUAAUAUUUUUGUUUUAUUUAUAAAUACCUGUAAGCAAUACACCGUACGUUUGAUAUAAGAAUAUACAUAAUAUUUUUUUAUUUUUUUAUAAAGAAACAGAGUAGAACAUUACACUACUGUGUGAUAACACAGUUUAUUAUUGAAGUUAUAUACCUAAUAAAUCUAAUAAAGAUUUAAUUUAAGAACAUACAUAAUAUUUUGUUUU